rnacentral:lncRNA from 1 species
UGAUCUGCCUAUCUCGGCCUCCCAAAGUGCUGGGAUUACAGGUGUGAGCCACUGCGCCUGGCCUGCUGCAUGUUUUUAUCAUAGUGAGUUCAGGAAUUCUCAGGUGUUGCUGCAUCUUUUGAGAUGACUAUGUGGUUUUGUUUUUUAUCAUAUUAAUAUAGUGCAUGGCAUUAAUUGUACUUGAAUGUUGAACCAAAUGUUGCUUUCCUGAGGUAAAUACCCUUGACAUAUUUUAUAAUACUUUUUACAUGUUGCUGAUUUGUUUUACUAGGAUUUCCUUGAUGAUUUUUGGCUCUAUAUUCGUAAGGUGUGUUCUUAAUUUUCAUUAUUUGAAAUCUGUUUGUCUAGUUGCGGUAUCAGGGUAAACCAACUCACAGUAUAAAUGAAAUGCGAUGCCUUCUCCACUUUGUUGUUGUUGUUUUUAACAACUUAUUAUAAAUUAAUAUUAAUUGUUAAGUGAUUCCAAUAACUGACUAAUGAAUUAUCUUGACUGGGGCAAGGAAGCAAAUCCUAGGAACAAUCACGUGAGCUUGGAAGGAGACCUUUCCCCAGCUGAGCCUCAGCCUGGGCCAUCACCUGCAUCUGGACUGAAGACCCAAAGAAACUACUCCAUCAGGAAUUGUUUGAGACCAUGCAUUAUGUGGACACUCAUAUCGUGGAAUUAUAUUGCCAAUUGGCAUUCCUAAAGCUUCUACGCUAGCAGGUUUGGAGUAAUUCACCAGUGAAGUCUUCUCAACCUGGGCAAUCAUGUGAGCUUGGAAGAUGAUGCAUCCCCAUCUCAUCUUUCAGGUGAAACCUCAGCCUUGGCCAUCACCUACAUCUGGAUUUCUGACCCAGAGAAACUUUGGUGUACUGUGGUUUCUGUAUUAAGGUCUGGUCUACAGAGAAGAGAGAUCAGGGAGCUCUUCAGUUGUACCCAGCCUCCCCACACAAAUCUACCUAACAAAGUCCUGAUAAACAGUAUGUUUUCUGGAGUCUAUCAAUAUGGGUAAGUUGCAUUUAUUUUUUUAUUUAUUUAGAAACAGAGUCUCACUUUUUUUGCCCAGGCUGGAGU